rfam:Dorea longicatena CAG:42 genomic scaffold, scf110
GCGGAAAUGGCGGAAUGGCAGACGCGCUAGAUUCAGGUUCUAGUGGGAGCAAUCCUGUGAGGGUUCAAGUCCCUUUUUCCGCA